rnacentral:lncRNA from 1 species
AGAGUUGAGAUUUAAGACAUGUGUCAUUGGUGGUUAAUUCCUAAAUGCUCCCGAUCAUGGAUCAUUACGGGGACGAUGAUUGAUCAGGUGAGAUUGGUGCAUAGGUCGCUUCCUCUUUUGGGUAGACGAGUCUCGAGUCGACAGUGUGCGGACACUGAAGCGAAUAUGUAAGUGGUUGUUAGAGAAUAAAGGUACCGAGCGUGACCAACGCUAGAAG